GACGAACGCUGGCGGCGUGCUUAACACAUGCAAGUCGAACGGAAAGGCCCUGCUUUUGUGGGGUGCUCGAAUGGCGCACGGGUGAGUAACACGUGAGUAACCUCUCCUUGACUUUGUGAUAUCUUUAGGAAACUGGGGCUAUUACCGGAUAUGAGCUCCUGCUGCAUGGGGGGGGUUCGUAAGUUUCGGUGGUUGGGGCUUGACUCGCGGUUUAUCAGCUUUGUUGUGGGGUAGUGGCUUACCAUGGUUUUGACGGUUAGUCGGCCUGAGAGGGUGACCGGCCACAUUGGGACUGAGAUACGGCUCAGACUCCUACGGGAGGCAGCAGUGGGGAAUAUUGCAAAAUAGGCGGAAGCCUGAUGAAGAAACGCCACGUGCGGGAUAACGGGCUUCGGGUUAUAAACCAAUUUCGACUGAGACAAAGCAUGAGUGACGGUAAUGGGUAAAGAAGCACCGGCUAACUACGUG
rnacentral:rRNA from 1 species